GCCCAGACUCCUACGGGAGGCAGCAGUGGGGAAUAUUGGGCAAUGGGCGCAAGCCUGACCCAGCAACGCCGCGUGAAGGAAGAAGGCUUUCGGGUUGUAAACUUCUUUUCUCAGGGACGAAGAAAGUGACGGUACCUGAGGAAUAAGCCACGGCUAACUACGUGCCAGCAGCCGCGGUAAUACGUAGGUGGCAAGCGUUAUCCGGAUUUACUGGGUGUAAAGGGAGCGUAGACGGCGGUGCAAGCCAGAUGUGAAAGCCCGGGGCUCAACCCCGGGACUGCAUUUGGAACUGUGCUGCUAGAGUGUCGGGGAGGCAGGCGGAAUUCCGUGUGUAGCGGUGAAAUGCGUAGAUAUACGGAGGAACACCAGUGGCGAAGGCGGCCUGCUGGACAUUAACUGACGCUGAGGCGCGAAAGCGUGGGGAGCAAACAGGAUUAGAUACCCCGGUA
rnacentral:rRNA from 1 species